GAUGAACGCUGGCGGCGUGCCUAAUACAUGCAAGUCGAGCGAACGGACGAGACGCUUGCUUCUCUGAUGUUAGCGGCGGACGGGUGAGUAACACGUGGAUAACCUACCUAUAAGACUGGGAUAACUUCGGGAAACCGGAGCUAAUACCGGAUGAUAUUUUGAACCGCAUGGUUCAAAAGUGAGAGACGGUCUUGCUGUCACUUAUAGAUGGAUCCGCGCUGCAUUAGCUAGUUGGUAAGGUAACGGCUUACCAAGGCAACGAUGCAUAGCCGACGUGAGAGGGUGAUCGGCCACAUUGGAAGUUAGCCACGGACCAUACUCCUACGGGACGGACCAGACGCGAACCUUCCGCAACGGGGGAAAGCCUUACGGAGUAAACGGGAGCGAGUGAUGAAGGCGCUCGGAUCGUAAAGCCCUGCUAUUAGGGGAGAACAGAUGUCGAAGUAACCGUGCCCAGCGUGACGGUAACGAAUCAGAAAGCCCCGGCUAACUACGUG
rnacentral:rRNA from 1 species